rnacentral:rRNA from 1 species
AGUGAACGCUGGCGGUAGGCCUAACACAUGCAAGUCGAACGGCAGCACAGUAAGAGCUUGCUCUUACAGGUGGCGAGUGGCGGACGAGUGAGGAAUACAUCGGAAUCUACUUUUUCGUGGGGGAUAACGUAGGGAAACUUACGCUAAUACCGCAUACGACCUACGGGUGAAAGCAGGGGAUCUUCGGACCUUGCGCGAUUGAAUGAGCCGAUGUCGGAUUAGCUAGUUGGCGGGGUAAAGGCCCACCAAGGCGACGAUCCGUAGCUGGUCUGAGAGGAUGAUCAGCCACACUGGAACUGAGACACGGUCCAGACUCCUACGGGAGGCAGCAGUGGGGAAUAUUGGACAAUGGGCGCAAGCCUGAUCCAGCCAUACCGCGUGGGUGAAGAAGGCCUUCGGGUUGUAAAGCCCUUUUGUUGGGAAAGAAAAGCAGCAGGUUAAUACCCCGCUGUUCUGACGGUACCCAAAGAAUAAGCACCGGCUAACUUCGUG